rnacentral:rRNA from 1 species
UACGUAGGGGGCUAGCGUUGUCCGGAAUCAUUGGGCGUAAAGAGCGUGUAGGCGGUCCGGUAAGUCCGCUGUGAAAGUCGGGGGCUCAACCCUCGAAUGCCGGUGGAUACUGUCGGGCUAGAGUGCGGAAGAGGCGAGUGGAAUUCCUGGUGUAGUGGUGGAAUGCGUAGAUAUCGUAAGGAAGACCAGUGGCGAAGGCGGGUCUCUGGACAGUUCCUGACGCUGAGGCACGAAGGUCAGGGGAGCAAACGGG